UUCCUCUUGCAUUGCAGGUUCUCCACAUGCAUUUGGAAUGCGGUUAAGUGUUGGCUCGACGUUCCGGAGUUGGAUGUCGACGCCUGGGCUGGGAUCCCCACGAUCAAGCAAUGGUGGGAGAAGAUUGUCCUUGGACGAGGUCACAAGAGGAAGGCCGUGUCCUCUCUUCUAAUGCUUGUAUCAUGGGAGCUGUGGAACCAGAGGAAUGCGAGGGUGUUCCAAAAGAAAGCCACGAUGCCGACCGUUGUGGUCGAUUGA
rnacentral:rRNA from 1 species